rnacentral:rRNA from 1 species
UACGUAGGGGGCAAGCGUUGUCCGGAAUUACUGGGCGUAAAGGGCUCGUAGGCGGCCAACUAAGUCGGACGUGAAAUCCCCAGGCUCAACCUGGGAACUGCAUCCGAUACUGGAUGGCUUGAAUUCGGGAGAGGGAUGCAGAAUUCCAGGUGUAGCGGUGAAAUGCGUAGAUAUCUGGAGGAAUACCGGUGGCGAAGGCGGCAUCCUGGACCGACAUUGACGCUGAGGAGCGAAAGCCAGGGGAGCAAACGGG